GCGGACGCGUGGCCCACGCACUGGAACGGCUCCACGAGUCUGUCACCCAGGUUGGAGUGCGGUGGUGUGAUCUUGGCUCCCUGCAACCUCCACCUCCCAGGUUCAAGCGAUUCUCCUGCCUCAGCCUCCCAAGUAGCUGCGAUUACAGGCACCCACCACCAUGAAGAAUGGCAUUUUUAAAAGAUGGCUUUCUUAAAAAAGGAUACUCAGUUGCUCUUCUACUCAUACCAAGUCCUGCAGACACAUUCUGGGACUGCACCUUAUGAGUGCUGCUCACUCUGUUUCCUGCAGAAGACAUACAGAGCCGUUCGCAUAGAGUAGGGCCAUGAUUUUGAUUCAGCAAUUCUUCAAACCACUGAUGCUGGUUGACCAUUUGACUUUGUUUUUGAAGUAUUUUUUACAUACAGUGUACAGAACAUUUCCGCUGGAUAUUUGGAUACUGAACAGGAGUAACAAGAGGAACAGCUCCUACCUCCCCCCUGCCCCUUCCCUCACAAGCCUGUGAGUCAGGGCAGGGGCAGCCACUGAAAGUAGCAGAGGCCUUCAUAAAGGAGAAGUUGUCAGGUAGACCUUUGGAUUAACUCCCCAAAAGCAGCCCCCUAGGAGACAGGCGACAGCACCGCAGUCAGGGGAUGCAGGCGUGGAGGCACUUCUCCAUGUUGCCAUCAUGUGAAGAAGGACAUGUUUGCUUCUGCUUCUGCCACGAGUGUAAGUUUACUGAGGACUCCCCAGCCGUGCUGAACUGUUGAAGGCAAUGGUGAUGAAAGUAAAUAUUUAAAAACACUACCAUAGCUGUCCCAAAUUUCAGAAAAACAAGGUACCACUGGAACCAUUUAAUUUUGUUGGAACACAGAAUGACCAUCUUGUGAUCAGUUUUCUGCAUCUUUAAAAUACCUGGAAGGUCAUCUUUAAAUAGUACAAUCUGAUAAAAGUUUAAUACUUAGUGUAGACUUAUAUGAAUACUUCUACAUUCAUACAUUUUUGUAUACUUAUACAUUUUCAUACUCAAUUAAUGCUUAAUUCAAAAAAUAUCUGAGUACCUGCAGUGUUCCCCAUGCUACAUACUGGGCUUAAACAGCCAAAAAGACACAGUCUUUGACCUCAAAAUACUUUGAUUCUUGUAAGAAAAACUGACAAAGACAAAGAGAAGGCAAUGUGAAAACUUCUACAGUUGGGAUAACCUUGGAGGUUACAGGAUGUGGACUCACUGAAAGCUUUCUGCUGGACUUGAACUUGAAGCUGAAGUCUGAAGGACAGAUGGGUGUUGCUUAGCGAAGGGAAAGUAGGAAGCAAAGACCCCUGGACAGAGUGUAGCAGGCACAGAGGGAGCAUGACACCUUCGGGAGAGAGCCGCAAGCACCUGGGCCCAGAUCCCAGCUUUAGCUUCAUUAGCCCUGUGAACUCUGUAUGUCAGCCUUGACAUAGAAAAAAAGAGGAUACUAAACCUCCAUCUUAAAAGAGACUUGGAAGAAGCUGGGAUUAUAGGCACACCACCACACCUGGCCCCAGAAAAGGGAAUCCUUGACCUGCAAGAAUCGAGGAAUAUUGUUUCUGACAUGCUCAGUGGACCUACUGCUGGUGUUCUUAACCAUUUCCUUCCUAAGUGGAACUUCUUUUGAGGUUAAUGUUUAUAUACAAUUACUUUAACAUUGGAUUUGGGAAAUGGAACAACAUACUGCGGAUCUUUCUGCUACCGAUGAAAGAAGAAGGUUGAGUUUUACCUUCUAGAGCUUUACAGUGUAAACAAGCAGUAUUAGGGUUUGUUUUUACCUUCUCCCCUUUGGCCCCGUCACAGAAGCACUGGCCUUUGUCUUUACAGACACAACCCUAGGAAGAGGGAAAGAGAAAGGGUUUUGUUUAGAAACAGCUGAAUAAAUCCCAACCGGCAGGGUAAAAGCAAAUGCAUUUCUCUGUUCUUCGAGUAUUGGACACUAUCUGUUAGGAGCCAGGUGACCUUGUAGCAAUAUAUCAAUAGAAAUAUAUCAAUAUAUGAAUAGCAAUAAAGUAGAAAACUGAGAACAUGUUGCAUAAGGGAGAAAUGUCGGAUAAGAAUACAUCAUUUGUAUUGUACUUGGGAAUUUUAAGUGUUAAAGUAAUGGCCGUUUUUGCCAUUACUUUUAAUUACCUUUGUACCAACCUAAUAAUUUAUAUAUGGAAACGACAAAGCUAUCCUUUUUUUCAGGAUAAUAUCUAAUUGAAUCAUAAGAAAUUGCUGCUGUCAUAGUUAAAAAGUGGUCAAAUACUGGCAAAUUCUUAGGUUCUACAUAAUGUUCAUAUAUGUGUAUGUGUAUAUAUGUAUAAUGUAUACAUGUAUAUGUACCUUUUAUGUAGAACACAAUGUAUUUGGUUAGUGCCAUUACUUGGACAAUUUUUUUGCCAUUACUUUCAAUGGCAAAAGCCACAAUAACUUUUGCACCAACCUUAUAUAUAUUUGUGUAGAUUAAUAUGCAAUAUAUUCCAUAGGUGAUAUUAAGGUUUUCUUUGACUUAAAUAAUGUUUAAGACUGGGAAGAGGAUCAAUACCCAUUACACAUCUUUAAAGAGAACAAACUAACUCAUUAAUGCUAGUAUCAGAAUGUUCUUUCUUUUUUUAUUCUCAAAUAUUUUGAACAACAGAAUGUUCUUUCUUAUAAAACCAAAACCAAAACAAAAAAUUCAGCUGUGAGUUAGACAUACCUUAUCCUACCUAACUAGUCACUGUGACACACUUACCCCCCAGCCCUCACACCUAUGCACAUUCCAGCUCCAAUGGACAUCAAAUUUUUAAAACUUUUCUCUGCCAGCAGAGGAACAAAUAAAGAAAUAGUUUCAAAUAAUAGACUUAAAAUGUGUUUUGGCUGGGCACAGUGGCUCAUGCCUGUCAUCCCAGCACUUUGGGAGGCCGAGGCAGGCAGGUCACUUGAGGUCAGGAGUUUGAGACCAACCUGGCCAACCUGAUGAAACCCCAUCUCAACUAAAAAAUAUAAAAAUCAGCUGGGUGUGGUGGUGGGCUCCUGUAAUU
rnacentral:lncRNA from 10 species